GACGAACGCUGGCGGCGUGCCUAAUACAUGCAAGUCGAGCGGACCGAACAGGAGCUUGCUCUUGUUCGGUUAGCGGCGGCCGGGUGAGUAACACGUGGGUAACCUGCCCGUAAGACCGGGAUAACUCCGGGAAACCGGAGCUAAUACCGGAUAACACCGAAGACCGCAUGGUCUUUGGUUGAAAGGCGGCUUCGGCUGCCACUUACGGAUGGGCCCGCGGCGCAUUAGCUAGUUGGUGAGGUAACGGCUCACCAAGGCGACGAUGCGUAGCCGGCCUGAGAGGGUGACCGGCCACACUGGGACUGGGACACGGCCCAGACUCCUACGGGAGGGAGCAGUAGGGAAUCUUCAGCAAUGGACGAAAGUCUGACGGAGCGACGCCGCGUGAGCGAAGAAGGUCUUCGGAUCGUAAAGCUCUGUUGUUAGGGAAGAAGAAGCGUCGUUCGAACAGGGCGGCGCGGUGACGGUACCUAACGAGAAAGCCCCGGCUAACUACGUG
rnacentral:rRNA from 1 species